UACAGAGGGGGCGAGCGUUAUUCGGAAUUAUUGGGCGUAAAGGGCGCGUAGGCGGCCAUUCAAGUGACGGGUGAAAGCCCUCGGCUUAACCGAGGAACUGCCUGUCAGACUGGAUGGCUCGAGACCGGGAGAGGUGAGUGGAAUUCCCAGUGUAGCGGUGAAAUGCGCAGAUAUCAGGAGGAACACCGGUGGCGAAGGCGGGUCUCUGGGCCGAUACUGACGCUGAGGAGCGAAAGCGUGGGGAGCGAACAGG
rnacentral:rRNA from 1 species